rnacentral:rRNA from 1 species
GAUGAACGCUGGCGGCGUGCCUAAUACAUGCAAGUCGAGCGAACGGACGAGAAGCUUGCUUCUCUGAUGUUAGCGGCGGACGGGUGAGUAACACGUGGAUAACCUACCUAUAAGACUGGGAUAACUUCGGGAAACCGGAGCUAAUACCGGAUAAUAUUUUGAACCGCAUGGUUCAAAAGUGAAAGACGGUCUUGCUGUCACUUAUAGAUGGAUCCGCGCUGCAUUAGCUAGUUGGUAAGGUAACGGCUUACCAAGGCAACGAUGCAUAGCCGACCUGAGAGGUGAUCCGCCCCCCCUGAACCGAGGCCCCGUCCCAGCUCCCAACGGAGGCCGGCGGAGGGAAUCCUUCCGCAUGGGGCGAAGGCCGACCGAGCCAACGCGGCGUAGGGAAUAAGGGUCUUCGAUUCGUAAACCUCUGUAAUAGGGAAAAAACAUAUGUGAAGUAACCUGGGCACAUCUGAACGGUACCAAACAGAAAGGCCCCGCCUACCUCGGU